AAAUAACAAUACGGGGCUUAAUGUCUUGUAAUUGGAAUGAUGGGAAUUUAAACCUCUUCCAGAGUAUCAAUUGGAGGGCAAGUCUGGUGCCAGCAGCCGCGGUAAUUCCAGCUCCAAUAGCGUAUAUUAAAAUUGUUGCAGUUAAAAAGCUCGUAGUUGAAUUUCUGCUACAUUGCCUAUUCUCCUUUACGAGUUUGGGUCUUUUGUGGCUUAUCUGGGUUCGCUUGCGUUCCCGGUGUUUUACUUUGAGAAAAUUAGAGUGCUCAAAGCAGGCUUUUGCCUUGAAUAGUUUAGCAUGGAAUAAUAAAGUAGGACUUUGGUUCUAUUUUGUUGGUUUUAGGUACCAAAGUAAUGGUUAAUAGGAACAGU
rnacentral:rRNA from 1 species